ACUACAUCAUCAACGGCCAGAAGAUCUGGACCUCGAUGGCGAAUUUCGCCGACUGGAUUUUCUGUCUGGUGCGGACCGACUUCAGCGCCAAGAAGCAUGAUGGCAUCAGCUUCAUCUUGUUCGACAUGACCUCGAAGGGCGUCUCGACCAAGCCGAUCCUGCUGAUCUCGGGCAAAUCACCGUUCUGCGAAACCUUCUUCGACAACGUCCGCGUGCCGCGGUCGCAUGUGGUCGGCACCGUCAAUCGCGGCUGGGACGUCGCGAAGUAUCUGCUCCAGCACGAGCGCUCCAUGAUCAGUGAAGUGGGCGAGCGCCGCGGCGCCCGGCCCCUGGGUCAGGUGGCGGCGAAUG
rnacentral:misc_RNA from 1 species